GCAACUUCGCAGGACCUCACCGCCCCAUCUUUCCCCGCCUCAGUCUCCUCGCUCCUCUCCCAGGCGAGAGGACCAGCGGAGGCACCUCUCCCGAGUCUUAGACUGCAGAGUCUAAGACUUAGCGAGAGGAGCCCCGGAGGAGACAGAUCAUUUCUCCCCCUUUCCCAUCCCUUCUUUAUUUAUUUAUUUAUUUUGGUGUUGGAGAGGCAAGCAGAGGCGCGGAGCUUUAGAAAGUUCUUGAGUGGUCGGGAAGGUAGGUGCUUCCUUUUUUUCUCUUGACACGAGGUGGGACUGGGACCUCUGGACCCAGCUGCUCCCCUCAGUAGGGGCACCUUUUUCGGCUCCAGCGGCCAAUGCGCCUUGGAGCCACUCUCUGCAGAGCCAGAGGGUGGGUCGGCUUCUUGGUGCGUGCCUAGAGGAUGGAUCGGAGGUCCCGGGCUCACCAGUGGCGCCGAGCUCGCCAUAAUUACAACGAUCUGUGCCCGCCGAUAGGCCGCCGGGCAGCCACCGCGCUCCUCUGGCUCUCCUGUUCUAUUGCGCUCCUCCGCGCCCUUGCCACCUCCAACGCCCGUGCCCAGCAGCGCGCGGCUGCUGGGCAGCGCCGGAGCUUCCUUAACGCCCACCAUCGCUCCAGUGCCCCCAUAUUCCCUGAAUCCCCUGAAUCCGAAUCUGACCUGGAGCACGAGGAGGGAGACCUCGAGCAGUCCCUUCCUGAGUGCCUAGAGUACGAGGAAGAGUUUGAUUACGAGACCGAGACCGAAACUGAGACGGAGACCGAGUCCGAAAUCGAGUCCGCGACCGACUUCGAGACCGAGCCCGAGACCGCCCCUGCCACUGAGCCUGAGACCGAGCCGGAAGACGAGCGCGGCCCCCAGGCGCCCAAGGGCUCCACCUUCAACCAAUCUCUCACCCAGCGCCUGCACGCUCUGAAGUUACAAAACCCCGACGCCUCCUCGAGUCUCGCGCAGCCCACCACUCAGGAGCUCUACAGCUCCAGCGAGGGGGAGGAGCCCGAGGAGAAGGAUCCGAGGGACCCCGAAGAGUCUGAGGAGCCCAAGCAGAAGAAGCCACGCCGCUGCAAGCCAAAAAAGCCCGCCCGCCGCGACAGAUCCCCAGAGUCCCCUUCCAAAAAGGGGCCCAUCCCCAUCCGGCGUCACUGAUGGAGGACGCCGUCCAGAUUCUCCUUGUUUUCUUUGAUUCAGGUGCUGGAGAAUCUGGUAAAAGCACCAUUGUGAAGCAGAUGAGGAUCCUACAUGUUAAUGGGUUUAAUGGAGAGGGCGGCGAAGAGGACCCGCAGGCUGCAAGGAGCAACAGCGAUGGAAUAUAUUAUCCCUAGAUGAUGGCUACAGUUUCUCAUCUUCCCGGCUAUGUCCUAUCACAAUUUGCAUGCUGGAAUUGCUCUGUCUUAGGAUCUUCUAAUAAGAAUACUAUUCUGUUGUCUGGGGGGAGGGGGGAUUGGGCCCCUACCUAUCACCUCACCUUUAGAGAUAAGUAAAAACAAAAAACAAAACAAAAAAAAAUUAGCAUCCUUAAUUGGCAAAAAUGUAGUAGAUCAGUAGUCAAAGGCAUCUAUCUAAAAAGUGACUAAUCAUCUGUACCAGAAGUUGGCCUCUGAGAACUAAGACGUCCUAUUGAGCAUCCUACUGUGUACUAGAUGUUGUGCUAAACCCUUGAGCCCUACUAAUACCUUGCCUGCACGUCUCUGUGAUUCUGUUCUACAAGUAAAUAUAAGUAUUAACAUUCCUGAUAAAUAAAAAUUCUCUGCAUGUCUCAGCAA